GGUGUCAUGGUGCAGUGGAAGCACAUCUGGUAUCGGUAGUAUGUUGAACCGUUGGAAUCCAGAAGACGUCAGUUCGAUUCUGACUGACACCC